rnacentral:lncRNA from 1 species
UUCCAGCCUGGGUGACAGAGUGAGACACCCUGCCUCAUAAAACAAAAAAAAAAGAGGGAAUGGGGGGUGGGAUACAUAUUGGAUAUGUAUAUAUAGGACAGUUGUAGAAAAAUACUGAUUUUUUAGUGAUUUAACUUUUGACAGUCCUGUCCAUGGCAAAUUUUUCUACUUGAACACCUUGGCUAAUAAUACAAGUUUAAGAAAGCAUAUUAAACUUUUUUUUGAAUUCUUGAGAAAAUUAUAUACAUGUGACUAUUUUCCUUUAGAAUGACUACAAACUCUGAACCCUCUUAUUAGAUUAGAUUUAGGCUAUUAUGAUCUCUUUGGGACAUUUAUUCUAAAGGAGCUGGAAACUAUAGUGGCCUCUAUUUUUCCCAGGGAUAUAGAGAAGCUUAAGAUCUCCUCUUUCUGGAACUUACCCUGGGUGCUCAAUUUUAACUUUCUGAUUGGUUCAUUUUUGAGUUAGUAAAAAUAAUAAUAAUAAUAUUUUUGUUUGAAUUGCAAACAAAUUGUCUUUGCACAGUGAUCUUCAGAUCUUAAAAGAAAAACAAGGGAUAGGAGACAUUUUGCUUAUCUUUUAAGGUAUAUAUUGGGUGAAGGAGCAUUAUGUAUGGAACCUCUCACAAAACAGCUCCUACUUUCAAGAAUGAAAAAGGGCUGAAGCAGUGCCUACUCCAUAGAAUCAGUCAUCAUGCAAAUAAAUGCCACCUGAGUCAAAGGCAAAGCCAAAGUGCAGCUUGGAGCAAAGAAGGUACUUCUAUUAAGAAUUUUACAUAAACCGUAAGAUACAUUUUAUAUUACUUUGUGAGCCUACUUCCUGUCUUAAUUCUUUCUGAGAGAAUUCAUUUCAUUUUCAUUUGGUUUGUUUUCUCUUUGUUACAAAGAUGAUCUAUAGAAAAUAUAGAAGUAUAAGAAAAUUAAAGACACUGACUAAUAAUCACUUAAUGAUUUAGUAUCUGAUUGUUUAGUCUUUGUUAUAUUUACUAUAGAUAAACAUGUCUACAGUUGUAAAUUUAUUAUUGGUAUGUAUACCCUAGUAAAAGUUAUAUGUACUUUGAAGUUUUGCAAAAUUGUGUUCAUGUUAUAGAA